rnacentral:rRNA from 1 species
CAAGGAAGGCAGCAGGCGCGCAAAUUACCCACUCCCGGCACGGGGAGGUAGUGACGAAAAAUAACGAUACGGGACUCAUCCGAGGCCCCGUAAUCGGAAUGAGUACACUUUAAAUCCUUUAACGAGGAUCAAUUGGAGGGCAAGUCUGGUGCCAGCAGCCGCGGUAAUUCCAGCUCCAAUAGCGUAUAUUAAAGUUGUUGCGGUUAAAAAGCUCGUAGUCGAAUCUGUGUCGUGCGCCGCCGGUUCAUCGCUCGCGGUGUCAACUGGCGUGUCGCAGGACGUCCUGCCGGUGGACUCAGUCGUCCGCCGGUCGCGUUCUCCUCUCUCGGGGGGUUGUGACGCGGCUGCGGCGGCGGUCCAACUUUAAAAAUCCCACCGCGGUGCUCUUCGCUGAGUGUCGAGGUGGGCCGGCACGUUUACUUUGAACAAAUUAGAGUGCUUAAAGCAGGCUGAAAAUUUUGCCUGAAUAUUCUGUGCAUGGAAUAAUGGAAUAGGACCUCGGUUCUAUUUUGUUAGUUUUCGGAACCCCGAGGUAAUGAUUAAUAGGAACGGAUGGGGGCAUUCGUAUUGCGACGUUAGAGGUGAAAUUCUUGGAUCGUCGCAAGACGGACUUAAGCGAAAGCAUUUGCCAAAAACGCUUUCAUUGAUCAAGAACGAAAGUUAGAGGUUCGAAGGCGAUCAGAUACCGCCCUAGUUCUAACCAUAAACGAUGCCAGCUAGCGAUCCGUCGACGUUCCUCCGAUGACUCGACGGGCAGCUUCCGGGAAACCAAAGCUUUUGGGUUCCGGGGGAAGU